AGAGUUUGAUCAUGGCUCAGAGUGAACGCUGGCGGCAUGCCUAACACAUGCAAGUCGAACGGUAACAGGCCCGCAAGGGUGCUGACGAGUGGCGGACGGGUGAGGAAUACAUCGGAAUCUGCCCGGUUGUGGGGGAUAACGUAGGGAAACUUACGCUAAUACCGCAUACGACCGAAAGGUGAAAGCGUGGGAUCCGCAAGGACCUCGCGCAGCCGGAUGAGCCGAUGUCGGAUUAGCUAGUUGGCGGGGUAAAGGCCCACCAAGGCGACGAUCCGUAGCUGGUCUGAGAGGAUGAUCAGCCACACUGGGACUGAGACACGGCCCAGACUCCUACGGGAGGCAGCAGUGGGGAAUAUUGGACAAUGGGGGCAACCCUGAUCCAGCAAUGCCGCGUGUGUGAAGAAGGCCUUCGGGUUGUAAAGCACUUUUAUCCGGAACGAAACGUGUUGGGUGAAUAGCCCAGCAAACUGACGGUACCGGAGGAAUAAGCACCGGCUAACUUCGUGCCAGCAGCCGCGGUA
rnacentral:rRNA from 1 species